UAGUCCACGCCGUAAACGAUGUCGACUUGGAGGUUGUGCCCUUGAGGCGUGGCUUCCGGAGCUAACGCGUUAAGUCGACCGCCUGGGGAGUACGGCCGCAAGGUUAAAACUCAAAUGAAUUGACGGGGGCCCGCACAAGCGGUGGAGCAUGUGGUUUAAUUCGAUGCAACGCGAAGAACCUUACCUGGUCUUGACAUCCACGGAAGUUUUCAGAGAUGAGAAUGUGCCUUCGGGAACCGUGAGACAGGUGCUGCAUGGCUGUCGUCAGCUCGUGUUGUGAAAUGUUGGGUUAAGUCCCGCAACGAGCGCAACCCUUAUCCUUUGUUGCCAGCGGUCCGGCCGGGAACUCAAAGGAGACUGCCAGUGAUAAACUGGAGGAAGGUGGGGAUGACGUCAAGUCAUCAUGGCCCUUACGACCAGGGCUACACACGUGCUACAAUGGCGCAUACAAAGAGAAGCGACCUCGCGAGAGCAAGCGGACCUCAUAAAGUGCGUCGUAGUCCGGAUUGGAGUCUGCAACUCGACUCCAUGAAGUCGGAAUCGCUAGUAAUCGUGGAUCAGAAUGCCACGGUGAAUACGUUCCCGGGCCUUGUACACACCGCCCGUCACACCAUGGGAGUGGGUUGCAAAAGAAGUAGGUAGCUUAACCUUCGGGAGGGCGCUUACCACUUUGUGAUUCAUGACUGGGGUGAAGUCGUAACAAGGUAACCGUAGGGGAACCUGCGGUUGGAUCACCUCCUU
rnacentral:rRNA from 1 species